rnacentral:lncRNA from 1 species
GGCCCGCGGGCCGGGCGGACUCGGGCGGCCUGGACCGGGAGGAACAGCGAGGGGCGGCGAGCGAGGCUGGGUCCCGGCACGCCCCCGGAGCCCCCCGAGUGGAUUUCCACGCGGAAAGGAUGGUGGCCGUCCGGGUGACCUGCGGAGACACGGCCGGAUCCACCUUCCAGCCUGAUCUUUUGAUCAGGGAGGAAUUCAAAAGAAUGCCCCCUUGUGAUGGCUGCGCUGUCAAGUACAUGGAGCUUCCCUCGAGGAUUUUCUGAGCCUUGUGGAUAUACUGUGAGCCUCGCUGCCUGGGGAGUAAGGCGGCGGAAGCAGUCUCUGGGGGGACCCAUGCCCGCAGCAUUUCUGGAUGCUAAAGGUGGCUUUAAGGAAGGCCCAGCUGAGUGCCUCGUGGAUUCCUGCAGCCUGGAUGCCUGCGGGGGACAGAAGACCGAUGCUUCCUGCCCUCAUCACCCAGGAAUGUCGGGAGGGGGCUCCGCCAAUUCCCUGAAGGGCUCCCAGUGAAACAAAUGGUACCACCCUUGGUUGAUCAGCUGGGGCUGAGAGGAGAAGGCGAUGAUGGAAUGCGAGUGAAGCUCAACAUCUCAGCAUUUUCCAGGAGCAAUAAACCUUCCUGUGAUGGCUGUGGUGUAAUCUGAAAAAAUGCAGAUCCGUUCAGAACUCCAGAAGGACUUGAAAACUGUCCUGCCCUGAACGAAAGCUGGAAUAUCGUGGGCUUUGAUGAACCAAGGAAAAGUGCCUUCAUCAGGACGCAGCAGUAAGCCUGCUGACUACUUAAGCCCUGCCUAGGUUCCUAGGAAAUGGGCAGGAAAAGUGCCUGCCACCUGCUGCUUGCUGGUGUGCUGUUUUGGCAGCAGGAGCUGUGGGAACACACAGGGGCAGGAGAACAAACACAUUACACACGAGGACUUCCAUCCUCCAGCCAGCAAGGUGCCGACACCUCACACUUGGUAAGUAUUCCCAGUAGACACGUGUCUCCUGGUUCUACAUUUGCCGGCUUGCACAUGUGGGGGGCUCAGGGAUGAUGAGGGAUCUUGAUGAUUGCGUUCCUUCCCUGGGCCCCCCUUUUUCUUCCCCGCCCUCCCUCCUUCUGCAUUUAAUGAGCACUUACUGUGCGGCAGGCACCGUUCUCUGCGCCUGGGAUAAAAGGAUGAGGGACAGGUGGUGCUGCAGGAGAAAUGCAGGGCACCAGGUGGUUGGCUUGGUAACAGCUCCCCAAAGAUAGCCACAUCCUCACUCCCGGAACCUGUGACUGGCACCUUUCGUGGCAAAAGGGACUUUGCAGACAUGGUAAGUUAAGGAUCUGAGCUGCACCAAACUGGACUAAAUGGAGGAGGGUUAAGUAAACUAUUAUUCUCCACCUGGUGCAAUAUUAGGAGAUCCUUGAAACGAUCAUUUUCGAAAUUCCCGUUCCAAACGGUCUUAGAACUCUGUAUCUUCCUCUUGUACGACUUACCAUGAUUUUUAAUAAUUUAGCUGCCCGGUUACUGAAUUAAUGUCUGUUUCCCCUACUCCUUUGAUGGGGACAGUGCCCUUUUUGCUCACCGUUUCCUCUCAGCUGCCCAGCAUGGUGUCUGGCUUAUAGCAGGUGCAAAAUAAAAUUGGUUGAAUACAUGCCAAAUAAGGAUUUUUUAGAUCCUUGAAACAACAGGCUGAGUGAACCAAGCAAAGCACAUCUGAGCACGAUGUGAAAAUGGAAGUGCAUGUGCAUAUAGAUGACUUCUAGAAGGCAGCUCUGGGAAUGUCACGUGUUUAUGCCAGUAUGGUGGGACGCAGGGCUGAGACUUGUUCUUCCUGCUUUAUUUCCUCCAUGCUGUGCUUAUGCCCAGGGGGCCCUCCCUGUCCAUCCCAGAGGCUGCGCCUCUUGCAUCCCACUUGCUUCGGGUCUAGGAGAAGAGGAACAUCCACUUGGGGUGGGAAGACUUGGUUUGGAAGCUGUCACUCUCCUUCCUUCACCUGCUGCAGGACACUGAACAGUCUUCGAACCCCUCAUAGCUUAGUUGCUUCAAGUUGAAAAUGUGAUAACGGUACCUGCGCCCCUGCGUCUCUCUAACGAAAUGCUGUAACAAAUGCCUUGUGGAUGGGCGACCCCACUGUAAAGUGUUCCAGGGCUGGCUGCUCCCCAUCCUUCUCUGCCGUGACACCUGAGCCCCUGGUACUCUGCGGAGCCCUGCAGCUGCCCGCAUGCCCCGUGGACUGAAGGCGAAUGUGUGGCUCCACGGAGGUGCUCGGUGCACUUAGGGUUCCUACGUAGCCAUCUGAGAAUCCCUCUUGAAGGUAAACAGGGAGAUGACAGCUAAUUAACUCAGAGUGCUUCCACGGUGCUCAGCCCUACUGCUCAUUGACUGGUCCAUCAGUCAUCCAGCAGUCUUUACUGAGUGCCUACUGCAUACGGAUUGUGUCUUCAAUUAGCCCUCAGUGGCUGCUGACGCCACCCAGACUCUGAACUUGGAGGCAGCACGAGAGUCUCUGGACAUCUUGUGCUCAGGCUGCUGAGGGAGAGUCAGGGCGGUUCACCAAGGGGCUGAGGGGAGCCUUCCGACCUUGGAAGGGGACUUUUUCAUCCAGGGAUCCAGGCCGACUCUCCCCCUCCUUUUCUUCCAAAGGGUCCUUGGCAAGGUGUUAGAGGCUGGGUGCAUUUCUCCGUCCUCACUUGGGCUUCUUCUCUCUGUGAGUCUUUGCGUCCCUCUCUCCCUGGAAGGACCCCGGUCAUUGGAUGUAGUGCCCACCCUAAUCCAGGAUGGCCUCGUCGUCCCUUGAUUGCAUCUGCAAAGACCCCGAUCUCAAAGUAAGAUCACCCCAAGUACACAAAUACUUAGAUGGGGUCAGGAUUUCAGUGUAUCUCUUUGGAGGGAUACAGUUCAACCUGUAGCAGAGCCCAAAGCAAAGCCAGCUCCUCCACGUCGCCCCGCCCCAGCGCAGUUGGCUCAGGGACCACUGCUUGGCUGCAUAGACGGAGGGCUUACUUGCUGAGAGGGACUGGGCAGCGCCCUUCCCAUUCGUUGUCCCGUUCUAUUCGAGGCAGUCUUGCGGUGCCUUAUGCAAAAAAUACUCAUCAGACCUGGCCCUGGAGGUCUGCGUGCCUGGCCCUGGAGGCGUGAAAGAUCCCUGAAGCCCUUGCCCACAGGGAUCUUAACGUCUUUAAUGCAGUGAAGAGGCAGGGAUGUGGGAAUAAGCAGUUCCAGUCGUUGCCACUUCUGAUGAAAAAGCAGAGCUCUGCGGGAGAGAACCUUCAGCUCAAGGUCUCGGCCCAGACAGUGACAUCACAGAGCCGCCCCCACCCCACCCCACGGCCCAUGGGUGGGGAGGCAAGGAGGCUCCGAGAAGACCUUGCAGUCGGGGGAGGAGCAGCGGGGGUAGGGGGGCGGGAGUGCGGGGAGAAGCUGGGCUGCAGGAUGGGGAAUGAAGCCCCCUUGACUGGCCGCCCCCUGGGCACCAUGUGUGGGCCCCUGGGAGGGAGGCUUUCUUCCUUGUGCCUGUGGUCAGAUCCCGCAUCUCCUUUCUGUCUUUGUUCUCUGGAUUCUUCCUGCCUUGGGUGUGUGAAAAGGGAGCCUCUUGGCAGCGUGCUCUGCUCUUAGAGGGUGCCACGCACCUGCACCCCUCUUCCCUCCCUCCGGCCCCUCCGCCCGCCCUCCUCCUCCCUCCUCUCCUUACCUGGCCGCCACCUGACCCUCCUCCUCGUACAACUCGGUUCAGAGAAUAAUCCACAGCAGCUGCCUUAGAGAAUCUUUCAAAGACACGCACCGGCCUGUGCCCUCCUUUCUUUCAGUGAAUACCCUUCAGCCACCCCCCACACGUGGUCCUCAGGUUCGUGCACUCAUGUCUUCAUGGUCAUUACUUGGUUUCUAAGGCUCUGGUGGGCACUGGCUGGGCUUCAGGAAAGGCCCCAUCUGGGCACUGAGAGAUGGGCAGGCAUUCCCUACCCCCGCCCUGGGGAGAAAUGUGGUCCAGCCACAAAGAGCAGGAGAGACUCAGAGGAGACAUGGUGUAGAGCAGGUCCUGGCUCUUGCUGUUGAGAUGAGACCAUUCGAGGCCUCAAAGCAGAUCUGACUUGUGCUUUAACUCAGUCAUUCUAGCUGCUGCUGCACUGGAAAUGGGCUGAAAGUGGCAAAGGUGGAAGCAGACGGACCAGUUAAGAGACUGCUGCAGUGAGCCAGGGAAGGGACGAUGGUGGCCUGGCCUCGAGGUCGCAGAGGGGGUUAUGAGAAGUGAUGGGAAGUGACUAUGUCAGGAAGGUAGACUUUGCUGGUGGGUUGGGUACGGGGCAUCAAGUAAAGGGUGAUCCCAGAAGUUUACUUUGAGCAAGUAAAGAAUGAAGUUUCCAUUUAUUCAUAUAAGGGACCCGUGAGGGGAGCAGGGAGUUCGGUGGGCAGGGGCGGAAUUGAGAUGGUUGAGAUGUUAGACAUCGUUAGACAUACAGGUAGAGAUACUCGGAGAGCAGCUGGAUGUGUGAAUCUGGAGUGUGAAGGUGAAUAUCCUAUGUCAGUUCGGCUAGAUAUCCAGACAUUUGGUCAAACACCAGUUUAAGUAUCACUGUGAAGGCAUUUUUUGGAUGAGAUUAACAUUUACAGGAGUUGCUAUCGUGGUGCAGUGGUUAACCAAUCUGACUGGGAACCAUGAGGUUGCAGGUUUGAUCCCUGCCCUUGCUCAGUGGGUUAACGAUCCGGCAUUGCUGUGGCUGUGGUGU